rnacentral:rRNA from 1 species
UACGUAGGGAGCAAGCGUUGUUCGGAUUUACUGGGCGUAAAGGGCGCGUAGGCGGCGCGGUAAGUCACUUGUGAAAUCUCUGAGCUUAACUCAGAACGGCCAAGUGAUACUGCUGUGCUAGAGUGCGGAAGAGGCAACCGGAAUUCUUGGUGUAGCGGUGAAAUGCGUAGAUAUCAAGAGGAACACCUGAGGCGAAGGCGGGUUGCUGGGCCGUCACUGACGCUGAUGCGCGAAAGCCCGGGGAGCAAACAGG